UAUUUAAUAUUUAUUAUAAACAACUGCCACUUAUUCAGUGGUUGCCAUUUGUUAAACUAUAUCUAAAUUAUUCUAAUUUAGCCUUUAAGGUCUAAAGGCUGUAUAUUAUUUGUUUUACAAAUGAGAACACCAAUGCUCAGAGAAUUUGCCCAAAGUCACAGAGUGGAAUCAAUUAACUGCUUAAUUCUAAAAUCUAUACUUUUAAGCAUCUGGCUACACCAUUUCUCUAAAAUUCCUAUUUAGUUCAAAUAUGAGCAGCAUUCCCCUGCGCAGAAAACCCAAACGAACUGCACCAAACCCGGGGAGACCCGAAACAGAAAUCACUAGGAUGGAGGAUCCCUGCCGGGUCUUGGCUCCCUUACGUCAUCACGCUGCGCGGCCUCCUCUCGCGCACCACGUGCCAAGGGAGCAGCCUACAGAUGGCAGGAUUUCCGUCUGGGGGCGUGUCCUGUCCAUCUGUGGCGCAAGAUGGCGCUCCCCUUUUCGCAGUCGUUGCGCUUGUGCCGUUGGGGAGCUAAACCAUUGGGGGUUGCUGCCGCGGAAGCCCGGAGAGGCGUCAGUUUUAAAUUGGAAGAAAAAACCGCCCACAGCAGCCUGGCACUCUUCAGAGGUGACACAGGUGUCAAAUAUGGCUUGGUGGGAUUGGAACCCUCCAAGGUGGCCCUGAAUGUGGAGCGCUUCCGGGAGUGGGCAGUGGUGCUGGCAGACACAGCGGUCAUCAGUGGCAGACACUACUGGGAGGUGACGGUGAAGCGCUCCCAGCAGUUUCGGAUAGGAGUGGCAGAUGUGGACAUGUCCCGGGAUAGCUGCAUUGGUGUUGAUGAUCGUUCCUGGGUGUUUACCUAUGCCCACCGCAAAUGGCACACCAUGUUGGCCAACGAGAAAGCUCCAAUUGAGGGUAUUGGGCAGCCAGAGAAGGUGGGGCUGCUGCUGGAGUAUGAGGCCCAGAAACUGAGCCUGGUAGAUGUGAGCCAGGUUUCCGUGGUCCAGACACUACAGACAGAUUUCCGGGGUCCAGUGGUGCCUGCCUUUGCUCUUUGGGAUGGAGAGCUGCUGACCCACUCAGGGCUUGAGGUGCCAGAGGGCCUCUAGUAUGUCUGUUAUUGGAGUCCCUAAUCAUGCUCUUGGCCAGCCACCUAUUGAAAGUGUCUGAAGCCUAUUUACUUUGUCCCAAGCAACCUCUAGUUCCCACAAUUCAGUGUCAGGUCCUCUGUGCAAUAAAUCUCUUAGUCAUCUUCCUCUCUCCCAUACCCUGUGAAAGCUAGGCAUACAGCCAACCCUCAUCCUUCCAAAUUACUGCCAAUUUCCUCGGCUACCAUGGGUGUAUUUUUCCUGACUUGCUUCCUUCAGUCCCUCUGCCUCCGUAUGCCCAGGCCUUUCUUAGACUGUAUUCAGUCCUGGGUCUUAUCUUUCAGCCUUGUUUGAAUUUAUUCAUCACUGUGAUACCUUUCCCUCAAUUUACCCACAUGUACUUGUUUGUUCUUGGGGGUUCUACCAGAUCUCUCCAGAGUAAAUUCUACCUCUGGCUGGAGGAGUGGUGCAAUGGCUUGGCCCUUUCUCUACAGCACAUACAGAGUCUGGGCUCUGGCUCCCUCAGAGCUUUAUUGAUUCAGUGUGUCAGAGGGAGAACAGGGCCCUCCUACCCCAGUACCUCAGUGCUACAGACCCUGAACCCCACUAGCUGCAACCUCAUCUACCUUAAUCUGUACACCUCUGACACCAGCCAGUCAGUCAUAAUUAUUGUGCCAUUCAUAACUGUGACCAAAGGGGAAGAGACACUUGGGGGAUAGGAUAUCUAGAGGAUUAGAGCUAGAAAUGGUUAUUGAGAAAUUCCAUCUUCAUUUCUGCUACAGUUAGAACUUCCAGAGGAAGGAGGGGAAGACUGAGGUUUUGCGCAACCCAUUUUGGGGCCUGUUUAGACCCCCAUUCUCCUUGGCAGCAGAAUACACUUAACCUAAAGCAGUAUUUGGGAUUGAGGAAAACCUGGUGGGGAACUGGUUGGAAGUAAAGAAAAUCUGCCUGUAGAAAUGGAGGUUCUUUGCAUAGAGAACAAGCCUCAGCUACACUUUGACCUUUGGACUGAUUUCUGUCUCCAAUACAAUAUUGCUGCCUUUGCAUGAGGAUGGAGCAUGAACUUGUGACUUGGGAGGCCCAUAGUACUGUGUAAAGUAUAUGAUAAUCAAGAACAAGUUUGUCAUCCCAGGUGGCUAAAGCAUGGCAGGGAUAAGUCCUAUUUUGUUGUUUCUCAUUUGAAAAGGACCCAUCUAGUUAAAUACAUGCUAACGUAUUAGCCAACUGUAACUAGGGUAGCUAGAAAUAAGGGUUUUCUUAAGUAAAAGAAAAUUCUUCUGUGUAUCUCUAAUAGUGGGUUUUUAGGUCAGUCCAUGGCUGUGCCAGAAUUUUGUGUUUGUGAGCAAGGAUUGUUCUUAAUGAUUUGAACACUUAAAUAAGGAAAGCUAAAUCCUUUGUGGUAUAAAAUUGGAAACUGA